UACAGAGGGGGCAAGCGUUGUUCGGAAUUACUGGGCGUAAAGGGCGCGUAGGCGGCCUUCUAAGUCGAACGUGAAAUCCCCGGGCUCAACCCGGGAACUGCGUCCGAUACUGGAAGGCUUGAAUCCGGGAGAGGGAUGCGGAAUUCCAGGUGUAGCGGUGAAAUGCGUAGAUAUUCGCAAGAACACCAGUGGCGAAGGCGGCUCACUGGCCCGAUACUGACGCUGAGGUGCGAAAGCGUGGGGAGCGAACGGG
rnacentral:rRNA from 1 species